CAGCAGCCGCGGGAAUACGAAGGGGGCUAGCGUUGCUCGGAAUGACUGGGCGUAAAGGGCGCGUAGGCGGCGAUCAAAGUCAGGCGUGAAAUUCCUGGGCUCAACCUGGGGGCUGCGUUUGAUACUUGAUUGCUAGAGUGGGGAAGAGGGUCGUGGAAUUCCCAGUGUAGAGGUGAAAUUCGUAGAUAUUGGGAAGAACACCGGUGGCGAAGGCGGCGACCUGGUCCUUGACUGACGCUGAGGCGCGAAAGCGUGGGGAGCAAACAGGAUUAGAUACCCCCGUAGUCCCUGUCUCUUAUAC
rnacentral:rRNA from 1 species